UAACGGAGUGCCGAUGCAAUGCGGAUGAUGCGCAUGAUGCUAUGAUGAAUGGAGCAAACAAAUAAAUGACACGACGGCAAUGGACUAAAAGGGAAAUCUUCUGGAGCGUCGGUCUCGGGUUGUUACACGACGUGGGAGGGAUAAAUUAAAAAUGAAGUAUUUCUAGUAUUUUCUAUAUUGCCAUGGGAAAUUUUCUAGGAGCAAGCACGAUGGAGUGGGAUCCAACAAGUCUCGAAGAACUAGGUUACAAUCAUCUGCUCACACAAAUCACAACAACAACAAGACAAUUUGUUAUUUUAACUUACAAGAUUUUCAUACUAAAAUUGUGUCGCUGGAGGAGGCCAUACUUUGGUAUGGCUACAGUCGAGUUUUUGGAACAGACUACACGAGGAUCUAAAGGAACCUCUUAAAUAACAAGUGAGGCAAGUGUCAUCUUAUCUUGUUCUGAUGGACUGAUAACCACGCGAUCCGACUUAGCAGGUCCAUCUAUGUUAUGCUUGCAGUCUUUAUGUAUUUCGAGACUGAAUAGACAUUAACAUGAGACAACCCAAAUAGUUUGUAAUGCUUUAGAAUUUCAGAUAGGUAGCUCAAGUGAAGAAACAUAAUGGCUAGAGGAUAUUCUUUGUACUGAACACAUUAAUGUAAGAGCAAAUGAGCAAUAGAAUAGGAAAUCAUCUACAUGUGCCCUAUAUCUCCCCUAUAUGCAUUCAACCAUAUAUAUUUACCCUUUGGGGGCCAUAGUAGCAUAUAAACCGCAUUAGUUUAGCAUGUUGCAAGACGGUGAUCUUCGUCUGGCAAUAUCGCUCGAAUACAAAGACAUGGUAGGUCUAGGAAGCACCGGGAAAUAGGUUAGCACUUGAUCUCUUACAAUUGCUAGAUAAGAACAUGGCAAAAGUCCUGAGAAAAUUUAUGGAGUACAUUGCAAAAGUUACACGGUUGCAAUCUUUUUCUCAAUGGGAGCAUUACAAAUAUGUGUUAUCAGCGCGUGAUAUAUCAUUAGCUCAUCAACUAUGAAGCCGUGCAACAAUUCUGGUUCAUUGCCGAGUUUCUCAGCACAGGAAGUGCAUUUCAGAGCUGCUCGCGUUGACCAGACAUCCCUCAAUUGCCUUAUGAUAUCAUAUGGAGUCUGGAACUCUGGAUCAAUUUAAAUGACAAGUCCGUCAG
rnacentral:lncRNA from 1 species